rnacentral:rRNA from 1 species
UACGUAGGGGGCAAGCGUUAUCCGGAAUUACUGGGCGUAAAGCGCACGCAGGCGGUUCGCCAAGUUUGGAGUGACAGUUGUCGGCUCAACCGAUAAAGGACUUCAAAAACUGGUGAACUUGAGGACGAGAGAGGAACAUGGAACUCCAGGUGUAGUAGUGAAAUGCGUAGAUAUCUGGAAGAACACCAAUGGCGAAGGCAAUGUUCUGGCUCGUUUCUGACGCUCAGGUGCGAAAGCCAGGGGAGCGAACGGG